rnacentral:rRNA from 1 species
GACGAACGCUGGCGGCGUGCUUAACACAUGCAAGUCGAACGGAAAGGCCCUGCUUUUGUGGGGUGCUCGAGUGGCGAACGGGUGAGUAACACGUGAGUAACCUGCCCUUGACUUUGGGAUAACUUCAGGAAACUGGGGCUAUACCGGAUAGGAGCUCCUGCUGCAUGGUGGGGGUUGGAAAGUUUCGGCGGUUGGGGAUGGACUCGCGGCUUAUCAGCUUGUUGGUGGGGUAGUGGCUUACCAAGGCUUUGACGGGUAGCCGGCCUGAGAGGGUGACCGGCCACAUUGGGACUGAGAUACGGCCCAGACUCCUACGGGAGGCAGCAGUGGGGAAUAUUGCACAAUGGGCGGAAGCCUGAUGCAGCAACGCCGCGUGCGGGAUGACGGCCUUCGGGUUGUAAACCGCUUUCGCCUGUGACGAAGCGUGAGUGACGGUAAUGGGUAAAGAAGCACCGGCUAACUACGUG